ACGGGUGAGUAAUGUUUGGGAAACUGCCCGAUGGAGGGGGAUAACUACUGGAAACGGUAGCUAAUACCGCAUAAUGUCGCAAGACCAAAGAGGGGGACCUUAGGGCCUCUUGCCAUCGGAUGUGCCCAGAUGGGAUUAGCUAGUAGGUGGGGUAAUGGCUCACCUAGGCGACGAUCCCUAGCUGGUCUGAGAGGAUGACCGGCCACACUGGAACUGAGACACGGUCCAG
rnacentral:rRNA from 1 species